rnacentral:rRNA from 1 species
UACAGAGGGUGCAAGCGUUAAUCGGAAUUACUGGGCGUAAAGCGCGCGUAGGUGGUUUGUUAAGUUGAAUGUGAAAUCCCCGGGCUCAACCUGGGAACUGCAUCCAAAACUGGCAAGCUAGAGUAGGGCAGAGGGUGGUGGAAUUUCCUGUGUAGCGGUGAAAUGCGUAGAUAUAGGAAGGAACACCAGUGGCGAAGGCGACCACCCGGGCUCAUACUGACACUGAGGUGCGAAAGCGUGGGGAGCAAACAGG